GGUGGUGUAGCUCAGUUGGUUAGAGCAUCGGCUUGUCACGUCGAAGGUCGCGGGUUCGAGUCCCGUCAUCACCG
rnacentral:tRNA from 1 species